rnacentral:rRNA from 1 species
UACGGAGGGUGCAAGCGUUGUCCGGAUUUAUUGGGUUUAAAGGGUGUGUAGGCGGUGUAUUAAGUCAGUGGUGAAAGCCUGCGGCUCAACCGUAGAACUGCCAUUGAUACUGACACACUUGAGUAUGGACGAGGUAGGCGGAAUUUAUGGUGUAGCGGUGAAAUGCAUAGAUACCAUAAAGAACACCGAUAGCGAAGGCAGCUUACUAGGCCAUAACUGACGCUGAGGCACGAAAGCGUGGGGAGCGAACAGGAUUAGAUACCCUAGUAGUCC